GAUGAAGAACGCAGCGAAAUGCGAUAAGUAGUGUGAAUUGCAGAAUUCAGUGAAUCAUCGAAUCUUUGAACGCACAUUGCGCCCUUUGGUAUUCCUUAGGGCAUGCCUGUUCGAGCGUCAUUUAAACCUUCAAGCUAAGCUUGGUGUUGGGUGACUGUCCGCCUCACGGCGGACUCGCCUCAAAAUUAUUGGCGGCCGGUACAUUGGCUUCGAGCGCAGCAGAAACGCGAACUCGGGCCCGUCGUAUUGGCUCCCAGAAGCUAUCUUCACAAUUUUGACCUCGGAUCAGGUAGGGAUACCCGCUGAACUUAAGCAUAUUAAUAAGCGGAGGA
rnacentral:misc_RNA from 1 species